rnacentral:rRNA from 1 species
GACGAACGCUGGCGGCGUGCUUAACACAUGCAAGUCGAACGGUGAAGCGCCUUCCUUUUUGGUGGGUGUGGAUGAGUGGCGAACGGGUGAGUAACACGUGAGUAACCUGCCCCCUUCUUCUGGAUAACCGCAUGCAAGUGUGGCUAAUACGGGAUAUUCUGGGUCUGUCGCAUGAUGGGUCUGGGAAAGAUAUUGUUUCGGUGGGGGAUGGGCUCGCGGCCUAUCAGCUUGUUGGUGGGGUGAUGGCCUACCAAGGCGGUGACGGGUAGCCGGCCUGAGAGGGUGGACGGUCACACUGGGACUGAGACACGGCGCAGACUCCUACAGGAGGCAGCAGUGGGGAAUAUUGCACAAUGGGCGCAAGGCUGAUGCAGCGACGCCGCGUGAGGGAUGGAGGCCUUCGGGUUGUGAACCUCUUUCGCCAGUGAAGCAGGCCUGCCUCGUUUGUGGGUGGGUUGACGGUAGCUGGAUAAGAAGCGCCGGCUAACUACGUG